rnacentral:misc_RNA from 1 species
GAUAAGAACGUAGCGAAAUGCGAUAAGUAAUGUGAAUUGCAGAAUUCAGUGAAUCAUCGAAUCUUUGAACGCACAUUGCGCCCGCCAGUAUUCUGGCGGGCAUGCCUGUUCGAGCGUCAUUUCAACCAUCAAGCCCCAGGCUUGUGUUGGGGACCUGCGGCUGCCGCAGGCCCUGAAAACCAGUGGCGGGCUCGCUGUCACACCGGGCGUAGUAGAUUUUAUCUCGCUCAGGGCGUGCUGCGGGUUCCGGCCGUUAAAAAGCCUUUUUUACCCAAGGUUGACCUCGGAUCAGGUAGGAAGACCCGCUGAACUUAAGCAUAUCAAUAAGCGGAGGA